AUGACCAAACUGUGUCCAUGACAUCAGCUGCCACAAUUCUGAGAACUGCCUUCAAGAAAUGGAAACAAACCAACCCUGGAACUGAAGAUUAACUGUAUUUAAAACAAGGUGAUGCUGGUACAAAAUCUCACCUGAGUGCACUUGGGCAUAAUGAAGUUCUGGAGGUAAAUGAAGACGUUAAGAAUCAACUUUGGGAAGGCUAUGCAAUAAGGAUGGUGUUGAGGAAUGGACAGAGAUAUGAGAAAACAUGGAUAAAGAGCUAUGCAGGGAAAACUCAGUAAUGGGUACCAGAGAUCUUCAUUAUGAAUUAGGGCAAUAAAACUUUUAUUUUUGCAAAAUUAUUGUUUUCCAUAA